CAAUAGCGUAUAUUAAAGUUGUUGCAGUUAAAAAGCUCGUAGUUGGAUUUCUGGUUGAAGCGACCGGUCGGGCGUUGAUUCGUCUGCACUGGAGUCGGUUUUGGCCAUCCUCUAGGAAAGUGCGUCUGUUAUUAAGUUAUCGGGCGUAUGAUCCUGGUCUUUUACUGUGAAAAAAUUAGAGUGUUUAAAGCAGGCCUUCGCCUUGAAUACAUUAGCAUGGAAUAAUAAGAUAGGACUUUGGUCUAUUUUGUUGGUUUGCAGACCGAAGUAAUGAUUAAUAGGGAUAGUUGGGGGUAUUUAUAUUCCGAUGUCAGAGGUGAAAUUCUUAGAUUUUCGGAAGAUAAACUUAUGCGAAAGCAUUUACCAAGGAUGUUUUCAUUAA
rnacentral:rRNA from 1 species